rnacentral:rRNA from 1 species
AACGAACGCUGGCGGCAGGCUUAACACAUGCAAGUCGAGCGCCCCGCAAGGGGAGCGGCAGACGGGUGAGUAACGCGUGGGAACGUACCCUUUGCUACGGAAUAGCUCCGGGAAACUGGAAUUAAUACCGUAUGCGCCCUACGGGGGAAAGAUUUAUCGGCAAAGGAUCGGCCCGCGUUGGAUUAGCUAGUUGGUGGGGUAAUGGCCUACCAAGGCGACGAUCCAUAGCUGGUCUGAGAGGAUGAUCAGCCACAUUGGGACUGAGACACGGCCCAAACUCCUACGGGAGGCAGCAGUGGGGAAUAUUGGACAAUGGGCGCAAGCCUGAUCCAGCCAUGCCGCGUGAGUGAUGAAGGCCUCAGGGUUGAAAAGCUCUUUCACCGGAGAAGAUAAUGACGGUAUCCGGAGAAGAAGCCCCGGCUAACUUCGUGCCAGCCGCCGCCGUAAGAC